CGUCAUUACAACCCUCAAGCGUAGCUUGGUAUUGGGUCAUCGCCCCCGGGGCGUGCCCGAAAAGUAUUGGCGUCCCGAUGUGACUUUAAGCGUACUAAAUUAUCUCCCGCUUUAAAAGUUUCGCAUCGUCGCAGCCAGACAACCCCAUAAUUCUAUCAAUGAUUGACCUCGGAUCAGGUAGGGAUACCCGCUGAACUUAA
rnacentral:misc_RNA from 1 species